GUUGUAUAGUCAAGUAAUUAAGUGCAUGUGGUGGAUGCCUUGGCAGUCAGAGGCGAUGAAAGACGUGAUAGCCUGCGAAAAGCUCCGGGGAGGCGGCAAAUAUCCUUUGAUCCGGAGAUUUCUGAAUGGGGGAACCCACCUACUUUAAGGUAGGUAUUGCAACAUGAAUACAUAGUGUUGCAAAGCGAACGAGGGGAAGUGAAACAUCUCAGUACCCUUAGGAAAAGAAAUCAAUUGAGAUUCCCUCAGUAGCGGCGAGCGAACGGGGAUCAGCCCAUUAAGUUAUGUGUGUUUUAGUGGAACGCUCUGGGAAGUGCGAACGUAGAGGGUGAUAUUCCCGUACACGAAAGGGCACACAUAAUGAUGACGAGUAGGGCGAGGCACGUGAAACCUUGUCUGAAUAUGGGGGGACCAUCCUCCAAGGCUAAAUACUCCUGACUGACCGAUAGUGAACCAGUACCGUGAGGGAAAGGCGAAAAGAACCCCUGUGAGGGGAGUGAAAUAGAUCCUGAAACCGCAUGCAUACAAGCAGUGGGAGCACCUUCGUGGUGUGACUGCGUACCUUUUGUAUAAUGGGUCAGCGACUUAUAUUCAGUAGC
rnacentral:rRNA from 1 species